AAGACUAUAAUCAAUAAGUUUAGGUUUUUGGCUAUGAUUUUGAUAUAAAAUUUGUAUGAUUUGGAGUUUAUAUGAAAGAAAUAUGGGCAUUCAAAGUUAAGGUAUUGAUUUUGUACCCACUAUCAGUCUUUAGGACAUAAUGCAUGCAUACAGAAAGCAAUAAAGAAUUGGCAAUUAAGGUUGGAGAGAGCAUUUUUUCAACUAUAUUUUUGGCAUAUUAUUUGAUGGAUUUCAAGUUGAAAUAAAGAAGAUAUUAGAAAUUGAAGUUAGCACUUCAAAUUUAAGAAUAGUAAAUAA
rnacentral:lncRNA from 1 species